rnacentral:lncRNA from 1 species
UAUCUGAUAGGGAAUAUGCCAGCAAGAACCUGGACAUAGUCACCGUAUAAAGCAUACCAAAUGAACCUGUACUACUGAAGGCUCCCUGAGGACAAGUGGGAUCCAGCUUCAAUGUAGACGUCUAAAGAAAAGGAUGAUAGGAAAUGCUCCUUCACAGCAUAUGGUCAGCCACUGAGGAUACUUAAGCUUACCUGAGGCAGACAGAGUGAGUUAUGUUUCCCACUAAAUAGGGGAGAUUGAUUUAGUAAUGACAAAAGCUGACUGGAAUUCCUAUA